rnacentral:rRNA from 1 species
GUUGGGCACUAGGUGUGGGGGCGCCUGGUUUUACUGGGUGGUUUCGCGCCGCAGCUAACGCAUUAAGUGCCCCGCCUGGGGAGUACGGCCGCAAGGCUAAAACUCAAAGGAAUUGACGGGGGCCCGCACAAGCGGCGGAGCAUGCGGAUUAAUUCGAUGCAACGCGAAGAACCUUACCAGGGCUUGACAUGGGGGCGGCGGCGUCGGAGACGGCGUCUCCUUAUUUUGGGCGCCCCUGCAGGUGGUGCAUGGUUGUCGUCAGCUCGUGUCGUGAGAUGUUGGGUUAAGUCCCGCAACGAGCGCUACCCCUGUCCCGUGUUGCCAGCGCGUUGUGGCGGGGACUCUCGGGAGACUGCCGGGGUCAACUCGGAGGAGGGUGGGGACGACGUCAAAUCAUCAUGCCCCUGACGUCCUGGGCUUCACGCAUGCUACAAUGGCCGGUACAAAGGGUUGCGAUGCCGUGAGGCGGGGCGAAUCCCUUAAAGCCGGUCUCAGUUCGGAUCGGUGUCUGCAACUCGACACCGUGAAGUCGGAGUCGCUAGUAAUCGCAGAUCAGCAUUGCUGCGGUGAAUACGUUCUCGGGCCUUGUACACACCGCCCGUCACGUCAUGAAAGUCGGUGACGCCCGAAGCCCGUGGCCCUAUGGGAGCGGUCGAAGCGUCCCGGGGGUC